rnacentral:rRNA from 1 species
AUUGAACGCUGGCGGCAGGCCUAACACAUGCAAGUCGAACGAGUGGCGGACGGGUGAUUAAUGUCUGGGAAACUGCCUGAUGGCGGGGGAUAACUACUGGAAACGGUCGCUAAUACCGCAUACCAUCAGAUGUGCCCAGAUGGGAUUAGCUUGUUGGUGGGGUAACGGCUCACCAAGGCGACGAUCCCUAGCUGGUCUGAGAGGAUGACCAGCGACACUGGAACUGAGACACGGGCCAGACUCCUACGGGAGGAAGCAGUGGGGAAUAUUGCACAAUGGGCGCAAGACUGAUGCAGCCAUGCCGCGUGUAUGAAGAGGGCCGUCGGGUUGUAAAGUACUUUAAGCGGGGAGGCGUUACCCGCAGAAGAAGCACAGGAUAACUCCGUGCCAGCAGCCGCGGUAAUUC